UUAAUCAUAAUAAUUAGGUAUGAAUGAAUGACCUUGAUCAAUUGAUAUGACAUAAUUCUUCUAUCCAAAACUGAGCAUUACGGAUAGCCAAUUUGAGGAUGACAUAUAAGGAAUCCUGGUGUAGGUUGACAAAAAUAGAUUCAGAAUAGAUCUGUAUUUACGUAGUGAUAUCAAUAAUAUACUAGUUCAUAUCUAUUGUUAAGCUAGUUUAGUAAAAUCGUAUUUAUACUAGUAUGUAUUGGUAUAUAGUUACUUAAUGAAGUUAUAGCUUUAUAGCUGAUAAUAUAUGUUCUAUGACAUUGCAUCAUCAAGCACACUACUCUAAGUAUAGAGUGUCACAUGUGUGCCUGUCAAUCAAACUCCAUACGACUCUGUGCUAAGAUCUUCAUAUUGCUGAACCUAGCAGAUAUUAAUAUUUGCCAUACAAGGGUCUAAGCCUGGGCCGUAUGAGGUCAUGACGUUCACUUGUAACAUAUAUUUAAGCUUUGCUUUAAAGAAGGCUGGACACACUUACAUGACACACUGAUACACACUUAAACUAAGACACACUUAUUCGCACCCUCUUUGAAAGACAACACUGACAUACUGACAUAUUGACUAGGAGAACAGCUGAAGCCAGAAGUCAAACGUCAUUUCCUGUUUCUUCCUGCAUCACUUUGGAAAAUCUCAGAAGACAACAUGCCUGAUGCUGCUCACAUGCUUUUAUAAGCUUGCUACAAUACUAUCGAUCCAAUUCCAGAUAUUUUCAUCUACGCUAAACUGAACUUUAUACUAUUUUUCAUUGUGUUUGUGAUGCCACCUGUGUGACAAUAAACUCACACGUUAUUUUCAAAUCAACCUGACUAUGAAUGAUCUUCAUUCAGAUACGCCCUUGAAGCUAUAAGAAUAUUAGUUAUUAAUUUUACAUUCCUACAGUGGCGAGCCAAAGAAAGUACUGUCUUAUCUCUAUUUUUACGGAAAUCUCGACCCUUGAUGAGGGGGGGAGAGAUUGGCGCAGUCUUUGCGAAUAUUCAAGUCUCGAGAAAAAAGACGGUUCAGAACCUAUCAAGCAAGAGGCGUUUGUGUCGCGUCAGAUGUGGACAACAGUCCAGUAACAGCCGGUUGAUGACGAGAAAUCCUUCUAAUAACGAUAUGGCAUCUAAAAUCAAACAAAUAUGGAGGAUAACAAGCUUCUAUAAAGAGCAAAGAGAAAUUCAAAGUUAAAGAAGAUAUAUUGACAAAAGAUUUAUAUUUCAUAUUUAUGAACUAUUUUAUCUUAUUCAUCAAGGUUUUUCUAACGGAACUUGAAGAAGACAUUUUAAAGACAUUUCAUGAAGAAACAUUAAUCGGAAGGAACAUUAUCUAUCUACUAUAGAUAAACAAUUUAGGACUGAAACAUUUGUCCACAUAUACAUAUACAUUUUUUGAUUAUCCAAUUAUUAUGAUAUUAAUGUUCACAUGAAGUUA